rnacentral:rRNA from 1 species
UACGUAGGUGGCAAGCGUUGUCCGGAUUUACUGGGCGUAAAGAGCGCGCAGGCGGUCGUACAAGUCGCGUGUGAAAGCCCCCGGCUCAACUGGGGAGGGUCACGCGAUACUGUUCGACUCGAAGGCAGGGAGAGGGAAGUGGAAUUCCCGGUGUAGUGGUGAAAAUGCGUAGAUAUCGGGAGGAACACCGGGUGGCGAAG